rnacentral:rRNA from 1 species
CCUACGGGCGGCUGCAGUGGGGAAUAUUGGACAAUGGGGGCAACCCUGAUCCAGCCAUGCCGCGUGUGUGAAGAAGGCCCUCGGGUUGUAAAGCACUUUCAGUGAGGAAGAACGCCUGGUGGUUAAUACCCAUCAGGAAAGACAUCACUCACAGAAGAAGCACCGGCUAACUCCGUGCCAGCAGCCGCGGUAAUACGGAGGGUGCGAGCGUUAAUUGGAAUUACUGGGCGUAAAGCGCGCGUAGGUGGCUUGAUAAGCCGGUUGUGAAAGCCCCGGGCUCAACCUGGGAACGGCAUCCGGAACUGUCAAGCUAGAGUGCAGGAGAGGAAGGUAGAAUUCCCGGUGUAGCGGUGAAAUGCGUAGAGAUCGGGAGGAAUACCAGUGGCGAAGGCGGCCUUCUGGACUGACACUGACACUGAGGUGCGAAAGCGUGGGUAGCAAACAGGAUUAGAUACCCGAGUAGUC